rnacentral:rRNA from 1 species
UACGUAGGGUGCGAGCGUUGUCCGGAAUUACUGGGCGUAAAGAGCUUGUAGGUGGUUUGUCGCGUUGUUCGUGAAAUCUCACGGCUCAACUGUGAGCGUGCGGGCGAUACGGGCAGACUAGAGUACUGCAGGGGAGACUGGAAUUCCUGGUGUAGCGGUAGAAUGCGCAGAUAUCAGGAGGAACACCGGUGGCGAAGGCGGGUCUCUGGGCCGAUACUGACGCUGAGGAGCGAAAGCGUGGGGAGCGAACAGG